UAGCUCUUGGAAAGUCGUACUCAAGAGGAAGAUGAUACGCGGCUCACACUGAACCCAGUGAUACAUUCUUCUGAAAAGUGGUCGCGGCAUAAAACGAGAUAAGCAUCGAUUUCAGAUGUAAUCCCCGUGUCCCCUCACAGCGCUGUUAUCGACGGAGAUGCAGCGGAGAUGAUGCAAACCUAGAAGAGUCUAUAACUGACAGAAUGCGUCUUCAUAUCCAAGGUUCUACUGUGGUGGGUUUUCCACAUUGUGCGCAUAACUCGAGGCAGAUGAGGAGCUGCACUUCGCCCUAGAGAACACAGGAACACCCCUAAUAUUGAUCCUCAUCAAUUACAGCCAUCUUCAUGACUGGUCCUGCCAACACCUCCAUGUCCACUCUGCCCGUCCGCACAGAUCCACUGACACUGACGGAGUCCAUCCCCCCACAGCUCAGACUUUUUCUCCAUGGGGUCCGGUGAGGCUGACGGCUGAAGCAGCUCAGCAGCCCACAGUGGAGGCCAACGAUGGGCCUGGGGAGAGCUCACAGCAAAACCCCUCCCUAACACCACGGAUCUCUGAGGCUCAGUCUGGCCACACACAGAGGACGCUACUUCCACAGCCAGGAGAACGAAACCUGAGUUUGGUGCAUACAUACUGG